rnacentral:rRNA from 2 species
UUAAGUUAUUAAGGGCGCACGGUGGAUGCCUUGGCACUAGAAGCCGAUGAAGGACGUUACUAACGACGAUAUGCUUUGGGGAGCUGUAAGUAAGCUUUGAUCCAGAGAUUUCCGAAUGGGGAAACCCAGCAUGAGUUAUGUCAUGUUAUCGAUAUGUGAAUACAUAGCAUAUCAGAAGGCACACCCGGAGAACUGAAACAUCUUAGUACCCGGAGGAAGAGAAAGAAAAUUCGAUUCCCUUAGUAGCGGCGAGCGAAACGGGAAGAGCCCAAACCAACAAGCUUGCUUGUUGGGGUUGUAGGACACUCUAUACGGAGUUACAAAGGACGACAUUAGACGAAUCAUCUGGAAAGAUGAAUCAAAGAAGGUAAUAAUCCUGUAGUCGAAAAUGUUGUCUCUCUUGAGUGGAUCCUGAGUACGACGGAGCACGUGAAAUUCCGUCGGAAUCUGGGAGGACCAUCUCCUAAGGCUAAAUACUCUCUAGUGACCGAUAGUGAACCAGUACCGUGAGGGAAAGGUGAAAAGCACCCCGGAAGGGGAGUGAAAUAGAACCUGAAACCGUGUGCUUACAAGUAGUCAGAGCCCGUUAAUGGGUGAUGGCGUGCCUUUUGUAGAAUGAACCGGCGAGUUACGAUUUGAUGCAAGGUUAAGCAGUAAAUGUGGAGCCGUAGCGAAAGCGAGUCUGAAUAGGGCGUUUAGUAUUUGGUCGUAGACCCGAAACCAGGUGAUCUACCCUUGGUCAGGUUGAAGUUCAGGUAACACUGAAUGGAGGACCGAACCGACUUACGUUGAAAAGUGAGCGGAUGAACUGAGGGUAGCGGAGAAAUUCCAAUCGAACCUGGAGAUAGCUGGUUCUCUCCGAAAUAGCUUUAGGGCUAGCCUCAAGUGAUGAUUAUUGGAGGUAGAGCACUGUUUGGACGAGGGGCCCCUCUCGGGUUACCGAAUUCAGACAAACUCCGAAUGCCAAUUAAUUUAACUUGGGAGUCAGAACAUGGGUGAUAAGGUCCGUGUUCGAAAGGGAAACAGCCCAGACCACCAGCUAAGGUCCCAAAAUAUAUGUUAAGUGGAAAAGGAUGUGGCGUUGCCCAGACAACUAGGAUGUUGGCUUAGAAGCAGCCAUCAUUUAAAGAGUGCGUAAUAGCUCACUAGUCGAGUGACACUGCGCCGAAAAUGUACCGGGGCUAAACAUAUUACCGAAGCUGUGGAUUGUCCUUUGGACAAUGGUAGGAGAGCGUUCUAAGGGCGUUGAAGCAUGAUCGUAAGGACAUGUGGAGCGCUUAGAAGUGAGAAUGCCGGUGUGAGUAGCGAAAGACGGGUGAGAAUCCCGUCCACCGAUUGACUAAGGUUUCCAGAGGAAGGCUCGUCCGCUCUGGGUUAGUCGGGUCCUAAGCUGAGGCCGACAGGCGUAGGCGAUGGAUAACAGGUUGAUAUUCCUGUACCACCUAUAAUCGUUUUAAUCGAUGGGGGGACGCAGUAGGAUAGGCGAAGCGUGCGAUUGGAUUGCACGUCUAAGCAGUAAGGCUGAGUAUUAGGCAAAUCCGGUACUCGUUAAGGCUGAGCUGUGAUGGGGAGAAGACAUUGUGUCUUCGAGUCGUUGAUUUCACACUGCCGAGAAAAGCCUCUAGAUAGAAAAUAGGUGCCCGUACCGCAAACCGACACAGGUAGUCAAGAUGAGAAUUCUAAGGUGAGCGAGCGAACUCUCGUUAAGGAACUCGGCAAAAUGACCCCGUAACUUCGGGAGAAGGGGUGCUCUUUAGGGUUAACGCCCAGAAGAGCCGCAGUGAAUAGGCCCAAGCGACUGUUUAUCAAAAACACAGGUCUCUGCUAAACCGUAAGGUGAUGUAUAGGGGCUGACGCCUGCCCGGUGCUGGAAGGUUAAGAGGAGUGGUUAGCUUCUGCGAAGCUACGAAUCGAAGCCCCAGUAAACGGCGGCCGUAACUAUAACGGUCCUAAGGUAGCGAAAUUCCUUGUCGGGUAAGUUCCGACCCGCACGAAAGGCGUAACGAUUUGGGCACUGUCUCAACGAGAGACUCGGUGAAAUCAUAGUACCUGUGAAGAUGCAGGUUACCCGCGACAGGACGGAAAGACCCCGUGGAGCUUUACUGUAGCCUGAUAUUGAAAUUCGGCACAGCUUGUACAGGAUAGGUAGGAGCCUUUGAAACGUGAGCGCUAGCUUACGUGGAGGCGCUGGUGGGAUACUACCCUAGCUGUGUUGGCUUUCUAACCCGCACCACUUAUCGUGGUGGGAGACAGUGUCAGGCGGGCAGUUUGACUGGGGCGGUCGCCUCCUAAAAGGUAACGGAGGCGCUCAAAGGUUCCCUCAGAAUGGUUGGAAAUCAUUCAUAGAGUGUAAAGGCAUAAGGGAGCUUGACUGCGAGACCUACAAGUCGAGCAGGGUCGAAAGACGGACUUAGUGAUCCGGUGGUUCCGCAUGGAAGGGCCAUCGCUCAACGGAUAAAAGCUACCCCGGGGAUAACAGGCUUAUCUCCCCCAAGAGUUCACAUCGACGGGGAGGUUUGGCACCUCGAUGUCGGCUCAUCGCAUCCUGGGGCUGUAGUCGGUCCCAAGGGUUGGGCUGUUCGCCCAUUAAAGCGGUACGCGAGCUGGGUUCAGAACGUCGUGAGACAGUUCGGUCCCUAUCCGUCGUGGGCGUAGGAAAUUUGAGAGGAGCUGUCCUUAGUACGAGAGGACCGGGAUGGACAUACCUCUGGUGUACCAGUUGUCGUGCCAACGGCAUAGCUGGGUAGCUAUGUGUGGACGGGAUAAGUGCUGAAAGCAUCUAAGCAUGAAGCCCCCCUCAAGAUGAGAUUUCCCAACUUCGGUUAUAAGAUCCCU